CAGCCGCCGGGAAUACAGAGGGUGCAAGCGUUAAUCGGAAUUACUGGGCGUAAAGCGCGCGUAGGUGGUUUGUUAAGUUGGAUGUGAAAUCCCCGGGCUCAACCUGGGAACUGCAUCCAAAACUGGCAAGCUAGAGUAUGGUAGAGGGUGGUGGAAUUUCCUGUGUAGCGGUGAAAUGCGUAGAUAUAGGAAGGAACACCAGUGGCGAAGGCGACCACCUGGACUGAUACUGACACUGAGGUGCGAAAGCGUGGGGAGCAAACAGGAUUAGAUACCCCCGUAGUCCCUGUCUCUUAUACAA
rnacentral:rRNA from 1 species